UACAGAGGGGGCAAGCGUUAUUCGGAAUUAUUGGGCGUAAAGGGCGCGUAGGCGGCCUUGCAAGUGACGGGUGAAAUCCCUCGGCUUAACCGAGGAACUGCCUGUCAAACUGCGUGGCUUGAGACCAGGAGAGGUGAGUGGAAUUCCCAGUGUAGCGGUGAAAUGCGUAGAUAUUGGGAGGAACACCAGUGGCGAAGGCGGCUCACUGGACCGGAACUGACGCUGAGGCGCGAAAGCGUGGGGAGCAAACAGG
rnacentral:rRNA from 1 species